CUAAUCCACCAGGGUAAACAUUACAUGUGGUAGCACAGGCAAGACUGCCUGCUGAGCAUUGCUGCUUGCCGCACCUCUGACAUUGCCAUU